rnacentral:tRNA from 1 species
AGCCCCUUAGUGUAGUGGCCAAUCAUCCUACCCUUUGGAGGUGGGGACCCAGGUUCGAAUCCUGGAGGGGCUA